rnacentral:rRNA from 1 species
CCUACGGGAGGCUGCAGUGAGGAAUAUUGGUCAAUGGACGAGAGUCUGAACCAGCCAAGUAGCGUGAAGGAUGACUGCCCUAUGGGUUGUAAACUUCUUUUAUAUGGGAAUAAAACGAUCCACGUGUGGGAUUUUGUAUGUACCAUAUGAAUAAGGAUCGGCUAACUCCGUGCCAGCAGCCGCGGUAAUACGGAGGAUCCGAUCGUUAUCCGGAUUUAUUGGGUUUAAAGGGAGCGUCUGUGGAUUGUUAAUUAAGUUGUGAAAGUUUGCGGCUCAACCGUAAAAUUGCAGUUGAAACUGGCAGUCUUGAGUACAGUAGAGGUGGGCGGAAUUCGUGGUGUAGCGGUGAAAUGCUUAGAUAUCACGAAGAACUCCGAUUGCGAAGGCAGUUCACUGGACUGCAACUGACACUGAGGCUCGAAAGUGUGGGUAUCAAACAGGAUUAGAUACCCGAGUAGUA